GGAAAUUUGUAAGACUGGAUGUCAUGAACUGAUAUAUAUGACUUUUGAACACUAUUAAGUCGUUCGUGAGGCCUCUUCUACUUUUCCCUGCAGCGAGUGGCCGUGCCGUCAUACCGACGCCGACAGAUUUUGAAGAAUUGAGGACAUCUUUGUUACCUUUCGCUCGCCGCAGUAUUGACAACAUUCACCGAAU